rnacentral:rRNA from 1 species
AACGAACGCUGGCGGCAUGCCUAACACAUGCAAGUCGAACGAGACCUUCGGGUCUAGUGGCGCACGGGUGCGUAACGCGUGGGAACCUGCCCUUAGGUUCGGAAUAACUCCCCGAAAGGGGUGCUAAUACCGGAUAAUGUCUUCGGACCAAAGAUUUAUCGCCUUUGGAUGGGCCCGCGUUGGAUUAGCUAGUUGGUAGGGUAAAAGCCUACCAAGGCGACGAUCCAUAGCUGGUCUGAGAGGAUGAUCAGCCACACUGGGACUGAGACACGGCCCAGACUCCUACGGGAGGCAGCAGUGGGGAAUAUUGGACAAUGGGCGAAAGCCUGAUCCAGCAAUGCCGCGUGAGUGAUGAAGGCCUUAGGGUUGUAAAGCUCUUUUACCCGGGAUGAUAAUGACAGUACCGGGAGAAUAAGCUCCGGCUAACUUCGUA